rnacentral:lncRNA from 1 species
AUGAAACAUUUAGUGAGAAACCAUAUAAAGACAAUUAAUUUGAGUUUCCCCCCAUCUCUGUUCAGAUGUGAAUUGGAGGCAUGGAGAAGAGUCCAAGGGGAGAAAAUUUGUUCCAAUGAAGAUUUGAUGAAGGCAAAGAAGCUGCAACACCUUUCAGACCUUUGGGCUCACACCAUUAAUACCUCUGAUCUUGAAGACAAACGACAAUUUGGGUUCAGCAGAGCAAGCAUUAGAUUUCCCUGUGCAGACCGUGUUGUGAUUCAAUGGCCGUUACUUGUCUGCAGGCAAUGGAGUGGCUCUAGAGAAGGACACACAUCUUGUAGCAAUGCAUCUGACUCAGGUAUGAUUGACAGCAAAGUGGAAGCUAUAAGACUUUCUAUAACCUGGCUCAGAAACUAUGGGAAUUCAUGUCUGCUGCAUUAUGCUGGUAAAAAGUGAGUGAGAAGGCCAGCCCAAAUUCAAGAAAGGAGACCACACAAGAAUGUGAAUAACAAGAGGCUGUUUCAUUCUGAGGUCACCUCUGGAGCCUAGCUACCAAAUGUUGUUUAUUAAAUUUUCUAACUAUUUAAAUAAAGAUAUACAUUUACUUAUAAGCACAGCUUUUUCUGCAUUAUCUAGGU